rnacentral:rRNA from 1 species
CAAUAGCGUAUAUUAAAGUUGUUGCAGUUAAAAAGCUCGUAGUUGGAUUUCUGGUGGGAGCGAUCGGUCUGGCGCUUAGCGCGAGUACUUGCAUCGUCUCCGGCCAUCCUUGGGGAGAGUCUGUCUGGCAUUAGGUUGUCGGGCAGAGGAUCCUCAUCGUUUACUGUGAAAAAAUUAGAGUGUUCAAAGCAGGCUUAUGCCGUUGAAUAUAUUAGCAUGGAAUAAUAAGAUAGGACUUCGGUACUAUUUUGUUGGUUUGCGCACCAAAGUAAUGAUUAAUAGGGACAGUUGGGGGUAUUCGUAUUCCGUUGUCAGAGGUGAAAUUCUUGGAUUUACGGAAGACGAACUACUGCGAAAGCAUUUACCAAGGAUGUUUUCAUUAA